UACAGAGGUCCCAAGCGUUGUUCGGAUUCACUGGGCGUAAAGGGUGCGUAGGUGGCCAGGUAAGUCUGAUGUGAAAUCUCCGAGCUCAACUCGGAAAUGGCAUUGGAAACUAUCUGGCUAGAGGGUCGGAGGGGGGACUGGAAUUCUCGGUGUAGCAGUGAAAUGCGUAGAUAUCGAGAGGAACACCAGUGGCGAAGGCAGGUCUCUGGGCAUUAACUGACGCUGAGGAGCGAAAGCAUGGGGAGCGAACAGG
rnacentral:rRNA from 1 species